rnacentral:rRNA from 1 species
GCCUACGGGAGGCAGCAGUAGGGAAUAUUGCUCAAUGGGGGAAACCCUGAAGCAGCAACGCCGCGUGGAGGAUGAAGGUUUUCGGAUUGUAAACUCCUUUUGUUAGAGAAGAUAAUGACGGUAUCUAACGAAUAAGCACCGGCUAACUCCGUGCCAGCAGCCGCGGUAAUACGGAGGGUGCAAGCGUUACUCGGAAUCACUGGGCGUAAAGAGCGCGUAGGCGGGCUAGCAAGUCAGAUGUGAAAACCUAUGGCUUAACCAUAGAACUGCAUUUGAAAAUGUUAUUCUAGAGUAUGGGAGAGGGA